rnacentral:lncRNA from 1 species
UCUUUGCAUGUGUGCUGUUUUUGAAUCGAUUCAUUGAACAUUAAAUGGUGACAAAAAUGAAAAAAAUAAAUUAUUUUACCGUUAAAGAUUGUAAUAAUGGCAAUAGUGAUCAGCUUAACAAAUCAAAACGUGUGAAACGACUCAGCAGGUUCUAUCUGAAAAAAAUGUCAGUGAACAGCAUAUGUGAAGCAAGGGAAGUGUUGAUGUUAAACAAAGAACAGUUAUCCCAAAAACGUUCUGUGAAUGGAAAGAAAGUUAUUCUUGACUCCUGUAUGACACAGUGACCAAAACAAUGAAAUGUUCUUUGUGCCUCCAGUAU